rnacentral:rRNA from 1 species
CAAUAGUGAAGAUGGCGACCGGCGCACGGGUGAGUAACACGUAUCCAACCUGCCGAUAACUCGGGGAUAGCCUUUCGAAAGAAAGAUUAAUAUCCGAUAGUAUAUUAAAACCGCAUGGUUUUACUAUUAAAGAAUUUCGGUUAUCGAUGGGGAUGCGUUCCAUUAGUUUGUUGGCGGGGUAACGGCCCACCAAAGCGACGAUGGAUAGGGGUUCUGAGAGGAAGGUCCCCCAUAUUGGAACUGAGACACGGUCCAA